rnacentral:rRNA from 1 species
AUGAACGCUAGCGGCAGGCCUAACACAUGCAAGUCGAGGGGGAGGUUACUUUCGGGUAACUGAGACCGGCGUACGGGUGCGUAACGCGUAUACAAUCUGCCUUUCACUGGGGGAUAGCCCGAAGAAAUUUGGAUUAAUACCCCAUAGUAUAGUAAUACGGCAUCGUGAUGCUAUUAAAGCUUAGGUGGUGAAAGAUGAGUAUGCGCUCUAUUAGCUAGUUGGAGAGGUAACGGCUCCCCAAGGCGAUGAUAGAUAGGGGUUCUGAGAGGGAUGUCCCCCACACUGGUACUGAGAUACGGACCAGACUGCUACGGGAGGCAGCAGUGAGGAAUAUUGGACAAUGGUCGGAAGACUGAUCCAGCCAUGCCGCGUGCAGGAUGAAGGUCUUAUGGAUUGUAAACUGCUUUUGUAAGGGAAGAAUAAGGGCUACGCGUAGUUUGAUGACGGUACCUGACGAAUAAGCAUCGGCUAACUCCGUG